CAUUAUAUGGCAAACCUUGUUCAGUUUUGACAACUUUGUUUCUGUGCAUCAUCACUGGGUGAAGUUUGUCGUAUAAU
rnacentral:pre_miRNA from 13 species